rnacentral:rRNA from 1 species
GCGAGUGAAGCGGCAAAAGCUCAAAUUUGAAAUCUGGCUCUUUCAGAGUCCGAGUUGUAAUUUGAAGAAGGUAUCUUUGGGUCUGGCUCUUGUCUAUGUUUCUUGGAACAGAACGUCACAGAGGGUGAGAAUCCCGUGCGAUGAGAUGAUCCAGGCCUAUGUAAAGUUCCUUCGAAGAGUCGAGUUGUUUGGGAAUGCAGCUCUAAGUGGGUGGUAAAUUCCAUCUAAAGCUAAAUAUUGGCGAGAGACCGAUAGCGAACAAGUACAGUGAUGGAAAGAUGAAAAGAACUUUGAAAAGAGAGUGAAAAAGUACGUGAAAUUGUUGAAAGGGAAGGGCUUGAGAUCAGACUUGGUAUUUUGUAUGUUACUUCUUCGGGGGUGGCCUCUACAGUUUAUCGGGCCAGCAUCAGUUUGGGCGGUAGGAGAAUUGCGUUGGAAUGUGGCACGGCUUCGGUUGUGUGUUAUAGCCUUCGUCGAUACUGCCAGCCUAGACUGAGGACUGCGGUUUAUACCUAGGAUGUUGGCAUAAUGAUCUUAAGUCGCCCGUCUUGAAACACGGACCAAGGAGUCUAACGUCUAUGCGAGUGUUUGGGUGUAAAACCCGUACGCGUAAUGAAAGUGAACGUAGGUGGGGGCCCGUAUGGGUGCACCAUCGACCGAUCCUGAUGUCUUCGGAUGGAUUUGAGUAAGAGCAUAGCUGUUGGGACCCGAAAGAUGGUGAACUAUGCCUGAAUAGGGUGAAGCCAGAGGAAACUCUGGUGGAGGCUCGUAGCGGUUCUGACGUGCAAAUCGAUCGUCGAAUUUGGGUAU